rnacentral:rRNA from 1 species
UACGGAGGGUGCAAGCGUUAUCCGGAUUCACUGGGUUUAAAGGGUGCGUAGGCGGGCAGGUAAGUCAGUGGUGAAAUCUCCGAGCUUAACUCGGAAACUGCCGUUGAUACUAUUUGUCUUGAAUAUUGUGGAGGUAAGCGGAAUAUGUCAUGUAGCGGUGAAAUGCUUAGAUAUGACAUAGAACACCAAUUGCGAAGGCAGCUCACUACGGGAUUAUUGACACUGAGGCACGAAAGCGUGGGGAUCAAACAGG